rnacentral:tmRNA from 1 species
GGGGAUGCAAGUUUCGAUGAUUUGCUCUUUAAAACAAUGCAAGUUAAGUAUUCUAAAAUCUUAUAAAACUUUUAGAAAAACAAAUAGUUGCCAAUUUAUUUAAUCGACAACCAGCAUUAGCAUACGCUUAAUGCCAUCUUCGCUGACCACUCCUGAUAAGCAGAUGAAGGUGUUAUAUUUUCAGGAUAGAUAAUUUACUUCUCCGAUAAAUUAUUAAAACUAAGGAGAUAGAGCGUUAAAAAUUUUGUUAAUUUUUUAUUUAGCGCUUGAACAAAAAUAAAUUAACUAAACUUGUAGAUUUGUUUUAAAAAACUCUUCAGACGUGGUUUCAACACCGCCAUCUCCACCA